UACGUAGGGUGCAGACGUCAUGAAUGAAUCUGGGCGUAAAGCGUGCGCAGGCGGUGAUGUAAGACAGGUGUGAAAUCCCCGGGCUUAACCUGGGAACUGCAUUUGUGACUGCAUCGCUGGAGUGCGGCAGAGGGGGAUGGAAUUCCGCGUGUAGCAGUGAAAUGCGUAGAUAUGCGGAGGAACACCGAUGGCGAAGGCAAUCCCCUGGGCCUGCACUGACGCUCAUGCACGAAAGCGUGGGGAGCAAACAGG
rnacentral:rRNA from 1 species